rnacentral:rRNA from 1 species
GUGAGGAAUUUUGCGCAAUGGGGGCAACCCUGACGCAGCGACGCCGCGUGGAGGACGAAGUCUUUCGGGAUGUAAACUCCUGUCAGUGGGGACGAUAAUGACGGUACCCACAGAGGAAGCACCGGCUAACUCCGUGCCAGCAGCCGCGGUAAGACGGAGGGUGCAAGCGUUGUUCGGAAUUACUGGGCGUAAAGCGUAUGUAGGCGGCAAGUUAAGUUCAAUGUUAAAGCCCACGGCUCAACCGAGGAGAUGCAUUGAAUACUGGCUAGCUAGAGGGGGUUAGAGGAAGACGGAAUUCCCAGUGUAGCGGUGAAAUGCGUAGAUAUUGGGAGGAACAUCGGUAGCGAAAGCGGUCUUCUGGGACAUACCUGACGCUGAGGUACGAAAGCGUGGGGAGCAAACGGGAUUAGAAACCCGUGUAGUCC